CUCCAUGCCAAAUAACCAGAGUAUUGCUUAGCUACUGCUAACUCAAAAAUAUACUGCUAUACCUCACCCGGAGCACCGGCACUGAACCAUCAGUUCUCUCCCUGGAGGGAUUUGAUGUCUGCAAAGCCCAACGCCAAGGGUGCACUCAAUCCCACCAUUGGUGUCAUUGAUGAAGAUGUUAAAGAGCACCGGUCCAAGUAAUGACCCUUGUGGGACACCACUUGUCACCAAUCUCCGUCUGGACAUUGAGCCAUUGGCCACCACUCUCUGGUUACGAUCUCAUGACCAGUUUCUCAUCCAUCAAAGAGUUUACCCAUCAAAUCCAUAUAUUUCCAAUUAGGAGAGAAGGAUGUUGUGUGUGACCAUGUCAAAGACCCUACCGAAUCCAGACUGUUUCAGCUGAAAGCUGAUGGUUCCACUUUGUACAGGGAAAGCAGAGCAGAACAGCG
rnacentral:lncRNA from 1 species